AUUAUAUAUAGGGUCUUCAUCCCUUUACUCAACCCUUGUUACACACAAACUGUUAAUUCAUAUCUGAAGCACAUGUAGGUGAUACACAUUUGUUGUCCUGUUCUACCAACUGGUGUUAUGGAAACAGGUGUAGCAGGUGUGUUUUCAUCUCCAAAUGAUAGAGCCAGUGUGCCACAAUCUCCAGUUUCACAAAAAAAAUGGGAAGUAGAGGGAUCUACAAUAUAGUGCAACCUGUUCGAGCCCAAAUUCUACCAAGAACCAUGGUAUUGGAAUAUCUAAACACUCUUACUCACUCUGGGACCUAAUCCCAAAUCCAGUUCAUUUGGAGUUGUGCACUAUUACCACCGGCUGUUAACGUUGUUGGCCAUAUUUUUUGUGCACAAUUAUAGUAUCCGCAUAGCCUCUAUAGCAUAUCCAAAAUAUUUGUCGACGAGUGUGCUUUGCAUAAGAAAAAAAUGAUUUUUUUUCUCAAAAGUGGGACUUGAACUUGGGUAUAGAGAGGGUUGGAUGAUAAAUUUAUAGUUAAAAUAUCAUUUUAGUUUUUGUACUUUGAAAUUUGUUCAAUUUUAGCUUUUAUACCUUAAGUAUUCAAUUGUAAUCUUUUUGUAUUUUUAGUA